CGGCCUCACUGGGACUGAGACACUGCCCAGAGCCCUACGGGGUGCUGCAGUUUCGAAUCGUUCACAAUGCGCGAAAGCGUGAUGACGCGACGCCGCGUGCGGGAGGAAGGCCUUCGGGUUGUAAACCGCUUUUAGGGGGUACGAAGUGAACGGGGUCAACAGCCCCGGGAUCUGACAUCAACCCCAGAAAAAGCUCCGGCUAACUUCGUGCCAGCAGCCGCGGUAAGACGAAGGGAGCGAGCGUUGUUCGGUAUCACUGGGCUUAAAGGGCACGUAGGCGGCUUGAUGUGUCGGUUGUGAAAUCCCUGGGCUCAACUCAGGAAUUGCUUCCGAAACUAUCAGGCUUGAGGCAUUCUGGGGGUGACUGGAACUCUUGGUGGAGCGGUGACAUGCGUAGAUAUCAAGAGGAACGCCGGUGGUAAGACGGGUCACUGGGAAUGUCCUGACGCUGAGGUGCGAAAGCUAGGGGAGCGAACGGGAUUAGAUACCCCGGUAGUCCUAGCCGUAAACGAUGUGCACUAGGUCGCGGAGGUUCUGACGCCGUCGCGGCCGGAGCAAAAGUGUUAAGUGCACCGCCUGGGGAGUACGGUCGCAAGGCUAAAACUCAAAGGAAUUGACGGGGACUCACACAAGCGGUGGAGCAUGUGGCUCAAUUCGAAGCAACGCGAAGAACCUUAUCCUGGGUUUGACAUGCACGAAUGAAACCGGUGAAAGCCGGGGACUGCCUUUACGGGUGAAACGUGCACAGGUGCUGCAUGGCUGUCGUCAGCUCGUGCUGUGAAGUGUCGGGUUAAGUCCCUUAACGAGCGAAACCCUUGUCGCUAGUUGCCAGCGGGUCAUGCCGGGGACUCUAGCGAGACUGCCGGUGUUAAACCGGAGGAAGGUGGGGAUGACGUCAAGUCCUCAUGGCCUUUAUGCCCAGGGCUGCACACGUGCUACAAUGGGGCGGACAAAGGGUCGCCAACCCGCGAGGGGGAGCUAAUCCCAAAAACCGCCUCCCAGUCCGGAUUGCAGGCUGCAACUCGCCUGCAUGAAGUUGGAAUCGCUAGUAAUCGCAGAUCAGCUAUGCUGCGGUGAAUAUGUUCCUGAGUCUUGUACACACCGCCCGUCAAGCCAUGGAAGCUGGUAGUACCCGAAGUCGCUGACCCAACCCCUCGGGGAGGGAGGUGCCGACGGUAAGACUGGUGACUGGGGCUAAGUCGUAACAAGGUA
rnacentral:rRNA from 1 species